rnacentral:rRNA from 1 species
UACGUAGGGGGCGAGCGUUGUCCGGAAUUAUUGGGCGUAAAGAGCUCGUAGGCGGUCCUUUAAGUCUGAUGUGAAAUCUCAGGGCUCAACCCUGAAACUGCAUCAGAUACUGGGGGACUUGAGGUAGGUAGGGGAAGGUGGAAUUCCUGGUGUAGCGGUGAAAUGCGCAGAUAUCUGGAGGAACACCGGUGGCGAAGGCGGCGUUCUGGACUGCAACUGACACUGAGGAACGAAAGCCAGGGGAGCAAACGGG